ensembl:misc_RNA Metazoa_SRP Metazoan signal recognition particle RNA
GCCAGGUGUGGUGGUGCACACCUGUAAUCCCAGCUACUCAGGAGGCUGAAGCAGGAGAAUUGCUUGAACCCAGGAGGCAGAGGUUGCAGUGAGCCAAGAUCGUACCACUGCAUUCCAGCCUGGGUGACAAAGCGAGACUCUGUCUCUA